GACGAACGCUGGCGGCGUGCUUAACACAUGCAAGUCGAACGGAAAGGCCCUGCUUUUGUGGGGUGCUCGAGUGGCGAACGGGUGAGUAACACGUGAGUAACCUGCCCUUGACUGUGGGAUAACUUCAGGAAACUGGGGCUAAUACCGGAUAGGAGCUCCUGCUGCAUGGUGGGGGUUGGAAAGUUUCGGCGGGUGGGGAUGGACUCGCGGCUUAUCAGCUUGUUGGUGGGGUAGUGGCUUACCAAGGCUUUGACGGGUAGCCGGCCUGAGAGGGUGACCGGCCACAUUGGGACUGAGAUAGGGCCCAGACUCCUACGGGAGGCAGCAGUGGGGAAUCUUGCACAAUGGGCGGAAGCCUGAUGCAGCAACGCCGCGUGCGGGAUGACGGCCUUCGGGUUGUAAACCGCUUUCGCCUGUGACGAAGCGUGAGUGACGGUAAUGGGUAAAGAAGCACCGGCUAACUACGUG
rnacentral:rRNA from 1 species